GACGAACGCUGGCGGCGUGCUUAACACAUGCAAGUCGAACGGAAAGGCCCUGCUUUUGUGGGGUGCUCGAGUGGCGAACGGGUGAGUAACACGUGAGUAACCCGCCCUUGACUUUGGGAUAACUUCAGGAAACUGGGGCUAAUACCGGAUAGGAGCUCCUGCUGCAUGGUGGGGGUUGGAAAGUUUCGGCGGUUGGGGAUGGACUCGCGGCUUAUCAGCUUGUUGGUGGGGUAGUGGCUUACCAAGGCUUUGACGGGUAGCCGGCCUGAGAGGGUGACCGGCCACAUUGGGACUGAGAUACGGCCCGGACUCCUACGGGAGGCAGCAGUGGGGAAUAUUGCACAAUGGGCGGAAGCCUGAUGCAGCAACGCCGCGUGCGGGAUGACGGCCUUCGGGUUGUAAACCGCUUUCGCCUGUGACGAAGCGUGAGUGACGGUAAUGGGUAAAGAAGCACCGGCUAACUACGUGCCAGCAGCCGCGGUGAUACGUAGGGUGCGAGCGUUGUCCGGAUUUAUUGGGCGUAAAGGGCUCAUAGGUGGUUGAUCGCGUCGGAAGUGUAAUCUUGGGGCUUAACCCUGAGCGUACUUUCGAUACGGGUUGACUUGAGGAAGGUAGGGGAGAAUGGAAUUCCUGGUGGAGCGGUGGAAUGCGCAGGUAUCAGGAGGAACACCAGUGGCGAAGGCGGUUCUCUGGGCCUUUCCUGACGCUGAGGAGCGAAAGCGUGGGGAGCGAACAGGCUUAGAUACCCUGGUAGUCCACGCUGUAAACGGUGGGUACUAGGUGUGGGGUCCAUUCCACGGGUUCCGUGCCGUAGCUAACGCUUUAAGUACCCCGCCUGGGGAGUACGGCCGCAAGGCUAAAACUCAAAGGAAUUGACGGGGCCCCGCACAAGCGGCGGAGCAUGCGGAUUAAUUCGAUGCAACGCGUAGAACCUUACCUGGGUUUGACAUGGAUCGGGAGUGCUCAGAGAUGGGUGUGCCUCUUUUGGGGUCGGUUCACAGGUGGUGCAUGCCUGUCGUCAGCUCGUGUCGUGAGAUGUUGGGUUAAGUCCCGCAACGAGCGCAACCCUUGUUCACUGUUGCCAGCACGUUAUGGUGGGGACUCAGUGGAGACCGCCGGGGUCAACUCGGAGGAAGGUGGGGAUGACGUCAAGUCAUCAUGCCCCUUAUGUCCAGGGCUUCACGCAUGCUACAAUGGCUGGUACAGAGAGUGGCGAGCCUGUGAGGGUGAGCGAAUCUCGGAAAGCCGGUCUCAGUUCGGAUUGGGGUCUGCAACUCGACCUCAUGAAGUCGGAGUCGCUAGUAAUCGCAGAUCAGCAACGCUGCGGUGAAUACGUUCCCGGGGCU
rnacentral:rRNA from 1 species